UCAGAGAAUAAUCAUUUUCUCUCCUUCCCACUCUCCUGAAUGUUAGAGAAUCCAUGGCGGUUGUUAGAGUCCGAGAAACAAUGAGAUGAAAUUGAAUUGAGAGAAUGAAGAGAGAAGAAAGUAUUGAUGUUGUUGAUGUGAACCAGAGAAAUUUAGGGUUCAAAUAAAGUGAGAUGGAUUUGGGGUUUGUUCAACUACAUACAAGGGAGAAAGAACUAAAUCUGAGAUGGGUUUGUUAUGAUGGCAUUAAGAAGAGAGAUUGAAGUUGCAGUUAGAGAUGAAUUAUGUGUCGAUUGUGAGGAUUUGCAUCUGAGAAGAUGGGGUUCGAUUUGAUUUUGAUAUUGACAAAGAGUUCAAGGAAUUUAGGAUUCAGAAACUGCAAAUUAGGGUUUGGUGGAACUGAAGAUUUUGGAUUUGUCAGUAUGAAGAUGAUGGAAGAGUAUUGAUGAAUUCUGAAGCUGAUGAUGAUUAAUUGAAGCUGUGAGAAAAUGGGUUUGCUGAUUGGUUGGUGGUGGUUCAGAGCAGAUGGGUAUUUGAAGUGUGUUCAGUAGUGAUUGUGAAGACUAUGAAGAUGGAGUCUGAGAUGGUGGUUAGCCGAGUCUUUGGUAGUGAAUUGAAGAUGGGUUUUUGUUGGAUUGAGAGUUAGUGGUGAUAUGGUGGAUUAUGUGUUGCUGCUGAGCAGAAAUGGUGGUGUUGUAAUGGGUACUGCAGUUGUGUGUAUGUGCAAGUGAUGAUGGAUGAAUUGAUGAGAUCGAAAUCAGUUUUGAACUGAAGCUGUUGUGAAUGGUUAAGCAGAGGAGAGGCUGAGCUUAAAAUGGGUUUCUGUUGAUGUUCAUGGGAAUGAUGAGUUUUAGAUCGAGAAGCCACGGGUUAUGAUUGCAGGUCAGAUGGUAAUCUUGCUGGUGACUAUAAUGGAGUUAUGCUACAAGUUUGUGGUACAAGGUUGAAAUCUGGUGGAGUUUUUGAAUGCAGAUGCAGGUGUUGCUGUUGUUGCCGCUCCAUGUAGUAGUCAAGAUGAACAAUAAGGAGCAGUGACUGAAAUUGAUAUUGCAGUGAAGCCAUGGAAGAUUGAAAUAGCUAGGUUGAAUGUUGUUGUCGAGUACAAGUGAGUUUUUGGAGGAGAAGAGGCUUAGAUGAAUGUGUAGGAUUAAAUUCUUACAGGGAAGAGCAAGUAUCAGUUGUUGUGGUUCUGGUGGUUGAACUAGUGGGUCCGUGAGAAGUAAAAAUUGCAGGCAAGGGUUUAUUUGAUGGAAUUGUUGGUGCUAUGUAGUGGUGGGUAUGAGCUGAGAAGAACUGAGAUGGAAAUAGUUGUGUUGAAGCUUUUACAGGUGGUUAUUGUGCAAGCAAGAAUUUGCAGGCACUAUUAACUGAAGAAAUUGCAAGAGCCGGUUGUAGCUGAACCGAGGUGCUAUGUUAUGAUGCAGCUGCAGUAUGGAUUGGUAUUUGUGAGGUCAAGCCAGUGAUGGAGUGAAUCUAGAAUGAACUGAGAAGAAGAAUGGGUUUAUUUUAAAGCUACAGAUGAGAGUGUUAUGAAUUGGUAAGAACCUCAGGUGUGUGUAGAUGGAAGGUUGGAGUUGAGUACAGUUGAGAUGCAGUUGCAGAAAAGGAGUGCAUUGCACUAUCAUGAUGCAAUAGCAGGUUAUGGCCUGUGCAAGGUUGCAAUGGCUCAGACCUAAGCAAUUCAUCCCACUCAGCCUAGUGAUCUCAGCUAACUCAUGGCUGACUCUCUUAUCCCAGUUGACUCACCUUGACUCAGUGACUUUGAUUGAGUUGACCCGAGUCCUGACCAGGUUGACCGGAAACCAGUUUGACUUUCCCGGUUAUCUGAGGUGAUUUCCCGGUCGAUUCCCGGCUAACUUCCGGCCACUUUCUGGGACUCCCGGUGAUACUUUUUGAGUAGAACUUUUACAUGGGUAUUUCUUUAAUAUGGGCUUGGUGGACAUCUUUGUAUUGGACUUGGGAGAUUGGACCUAAUUUUAGAAGUGGAAGAAGAGACAUAAAAGGGAGGAUUUCUACAACUUAGAUAUCACGUAUUCUUCUUGGAGCUAAGGAGGAGAGCCGCUUUGACUACUAGGAACUUUUCUCCAUCAAGUAUUGACGGCCUUCAAUUCUCUGUUGCUGGGCAAAAGGUUUCUGACUCGAGUGUUGAAGAAGAGGCUAACAUAAGUAUUUCUUCGUAUAACCAAUUAUGAUGCUUUGUGGAUAAAAUGCUAAUUGUUGAUAAUACAUCCAGGAGGAUGUUUCCAUGGAAGUGGAGAAUACUGGUGAUGCUCGUUCAUCUUCGGAAGUUGGUGACGAAGAGGAUUCUCAGAACUCAAGAACGAAUUAAAGUAAUUAUGCUCUUAAUACUGAUACAGGCAAUCACGACUAUUUGAAUUCUUCAGAGACCACCCAAGUGCCAAAUACCGAAGUUGAGAAUAAUGAAACCAAUAAUGAUAACUCGAGCAACCCUGGGGUUAUUGAUGAAGAGACAACCAUCUCUGCACUUCAAGGCCAUGAGAGGGUUGUUACUGAUGCUGUUAAAGAGACGAGACUUCAAUUGUUGUUGCUUCAGUGGCGGAAGAAGAAACUGAAUAAACUGUUGCCAUGACUGUAGAAGUUGCUCCAGUAAUUGAAAAUCGUAUAGUGGUGCAUGAAUAUCCAAGUGCAUGAGUUGCUUUUGAGCCACCAUUUGAUGCAUUACUCCCAUACCAUGAACUAGUUGGGUGAUUCAGCGUUCCUAUUGGAUAUGCCGGCUUGUAUGAGAAGAUAUGGAAGAAAUUUGGUCACAUCAUCGUUACCAGAGAUCCCAAGCGUACU